CAGUAGCCACGGUAAUACGUAGGUCCCGAGCGUUGUCCGGAUUUAUUGGGCGUAAAGCGAGCGCAGGCGGUUAGAUAAGUCUGAAGUUAAAGGCUGUGGCUUAACCAUAGUACGCUUUGGAAACUGUUUAACUUGAGUGCAAGAGGGGAGAGUGGAAUUCCAUGUGUAGCGGUGAAAUGCGUAGAUAUAUGGAGGAACACCGGUGGCGAAAGCGGCUCUCUGGCUUGUAACUGACGCUGAGGCUCGAAAGCGUGGGGAGCAAACAGGACUAGAGACCCCAGUAGUCCCUGUCUCUUAUACA
rnacentral:rRNA from 1 species